UACAGAGGUCUCAAGCGUUGUUCGGAUUCAUUGGGCGUAAAGGGUGCGUAGGUGGCGCGCUAAGUCAGGUGUGAAAUUUCGGAGCUUAACUCCGAAACUGCAUUUGAUACUGGCGUGCUUGGGGACUGGAGAGGAGACUGGAAUUCACGGUGUAGCAGUGAAAUGCGUAGAUAUCGUGAGGAAGACCAGUGGCGAAGGCGGGUCUCUGGACAGUUCCUGACACUGAGGCACGAAGGCCAGGGGAGCAAACGGG
rnacentral:rRNA from 1 species